CAAGUUUUCAACUCUUUGAGACAGAAUUUGGGGAAGCAAUUGUUUUUUAGGAAUGGUUGUCUAGUAGCUAAGCUCCACGAUUUUAAACUUCAAAUAGCUAGCUGGCUAGGGUUACCUGGCUCGGGCGCAAAGUUCAGGUACACCUCAGCUUGAGAGCUGCUUUUCUUGACCCGAAAGGCGAUUUAGGACACCGAGAGAAAGACGAUUAGUUAGUUAUUCCUGCAAUGAUGGUUUCCCAGCCCUAAUUCCUUUUCAGUGCCUCCCUGAUUACAAAACCAAGCUCGUACGCUAGCCAUGAGCCCCUCACCGUUCGUCAGAAAAAUUAAAAUUUCC
rnacentral:lncRNA from 1 species